UCGUAGGCGGUCUGUCGCGUCUGCUGUGAAAACCUCAGGCUCAACCUGGGGCUUGCAGUGGGUACGGGCAGACUAGAGUGCGGUAGGGGUGACUGGAAUUCCUGGUGUAGCGGUGGAAUGCGCAGAUAUCAGGAGGAACACCGAUGGCGAAGGCAGGUCACUGGGCCGCAACUGACGCUGAGGAGCGAAAGCAUGGGGAGCGAACAGGAUUAGAUACCCUGGUAGUCCAUGCCGUAAACGUUGGGCACUAGGUGUGGGGUCCAUUCCACGGAUUCCGUGCCGCAGCAAACGCAUUAAGUGCCCCGCCUGGGGAGUACGGCCGCAAGGCUAAAACUCAAAGAAAUUGACGGGGGCCCGCACAAGCGGCGGAGCAUGCGGAUUAAUUCGAUGCAACGCGAAGAACCUUACCAAGGCUUGACAUGCACCGGUAACACUCAGAGAUGGGUGCCCCGCAAGGUCGGUGCACAGGUGGUGCAUGGUUGUCGUCAGCUCGUGUCGUGAGAUGUUGGGUUAAGUCCCGCAACGAGCGCAACCCUCGUCCCAUGUUGCCAGCGGGUUAUGCCGGGGACUCAUGGGAGACUGCCGGGGUCAACUCGGAGGAAGGUGGGGAUGACGUCAAAUCAUCAUGCCCCUUAUGUCUUGGGCUUCACGCAUGCUACAAUGGCCGGUACAAAGGGCUGCGAUACCGCGAGGUGGAGCGAAUCCCAAAAAGCCGGUCUCAGUUCGGAUUGGGGUCUGCAAC
rnacentral:rRNA from 1 species